rnacentral:SRP_RNA from 1 species
GAUGGUCUGGGCCGGCUGGGCGGACGAGCAGGCCAAGAAGGACGUGGCCGACCGUAUUGAGGCCUUCGUUCAGAAGGGCACCUUGCCGGAGUUUGGGUCCUACGACUUGACCAAGAUCGUGGACGAACACGGCGAAACCGUGCAGCCA